rnacentral:rRNA from 1 species
UACGGGAGACAGCAGUUAGGAAUAUUCGUCAAUGGGGGGAACCCUGAACGAGCAAUGCCGCGUGGAGGAAGAGGGUCCUAUGGAUUGUAAACUUCUGUUGUAUGGAAAGAACUGUAUAUAUAGGAAAUGAUAUAUACUUGACGGUACCAUUCAAGAAAGCCACGGCUAACUACGUGCCAGCAGCCGCGGUAAU